GUACUCUGUAACAAUAGCCUGGUACUGUUUGUUCUGCCCUUGAUCAGUGACCCUCCACUUACAGGGUGACCCGGGAAAGGUUCGAGGGGUAACCAUCCACAAAUCAUCAGGCACAAAAGGGCACUCAUACGUGCCCAAUUGAGCAGAUAAUUGGAUCAAUUACUCCAACAGAGACAAAGGCGGCGAUGGUGAAAGUGGGUUAGACAUGCUCGACGACAAACAUGGGCGAAGCAUGUGCUAUCUCCCACCAGCCAGGAGCCCCACCCCACCCUGUCUGUUUUUCUAGGUGAUGUCAGAGAUUCGAGAGCGAGGCUGGAUGGGAGCACGAGGCAGUCGUGCUUCUCUUUGUGAUUUCUAGCGUUUGCAUCAUCGGCCGGGUAAAACGCUACUCCUUUCCACAGCAACAGUGAAAAGAGGCUCAGGGGAUGAAAAAAUCCAUCACGUCCUAUAGAGGUGAAUGUGAGACUAGUGAGAAACACCACAACUCAUUCUUCUCAGAGGAAUUACAAAAAGACAAAAACAAACUGACUUCUGGGUAUUCAUUUCUUUCUUUUCACAAAAUUCAGCUUUUUACUUCCUAGUAAAAACAUUGGUAAUAAGCAUGUUAUAGGAUAUAGGAUCGUGUAUGUCUAGUAAACAACCAAUACAAUUACGUUUUCCUGUAGCUCAACUGGUAGACUAUUGUGUUAGCAGCGAAAAGGUCAUGCAUGGUGGGUUCGAUCUAAACUAUAAACUAAUAAAAUGCAUACUUUGAACCCAUGGUUUGCAUAAGAGCAAUAAAGCAUCUGAAAAGCUAAAUCAAAAUGUAAACAAUAACGUCAUAUGUGACACAGUCAUUAUAAUUUAGACGUAAGGUGAUGUGUCUUUUAUUGUUUUAUAUUUAAACAAUGAUAUAAAUGAGUUUAACAAAUACAACAUGUGUUAAACAGCCCCUGUUAUUUAUUUAUUUACGCGUGACAACACUUCACAUAGAAACGCAUUUAUUUGUAUGUCCUCACCUUCUCGCCCGUGAUCGCGUGCAGCCCCUCGCGCACUUUGGCGAACGACCCCUCUCCCAGCUUCCUUCCGAUAAGAUAAUUUCCCACUCUCUUCGUGUGAUAAAAGUUUUUCAGGAUGUCUGCAGUGGGACCGCUGACCAGGGACGACGGAGGG